rnacentral:lncRNA from 1 species
GUUGAUCGCGCUGAGGUUCUAUUGGUCUUAUGAUUGGCUUUGGUUUUUGAAGGCCAGGUAUUCUUAAUAAAUUACAUCUUCUGUUUCUAUUAUGGUGGAAGAUUACUAUGAAAUCAUUAAAGAACCUAUGGAUUUCGGUACAAUGAGGCUAAGCUUCAUGAGGGAAUGUAUGAAAACCUCCAAAAGUUAGAGAUCUGCUAUUCCCCUAAAUUGAGCCUUUAGGUUUAUUUUCUUAUAUAGAAAAUCUUUUUCUUUUCCCUUCAAGUCAAAGUGGACUUGGAUGAAUUCGAGGAAGCAAUAUCAAGUUGUGUCAGUCAUUCUCUUUCUAUUAUAGUUACGUUGAUUGUAGCAACAUUUGGACCUUCAAUCACAUACCAUGUUUGUGAAGUGCAUUAUCUACUAAUAACACAACAAUCAAUCAUUAAUUUAAAAAGAAUGUCCAUACAUAUAAUGUCUAUUUAAUUCUAAUUACACGUAGUCAGGUUAUCUAUUCCUAGACUUGGUAGAUGUUACUAUCUUACUAGUUCUACAUAUGUUUUUUGUAUGACUAAACAACUUAGAAAGUAUUUACUCUACUUUUAUCAUUGAUAUUUUGUCCAUAAAUUUGCAGCUACAUGUUCAUAUAUAGAUGAAAGAUUAUGUAUUUCUUAGAACUUUGCUUUAGAAUUGAGUGCAACGUUAAUUGGAAAGUUGAAAUUUAGAUAUACUAGAUUGUCUAAACUAUGUUUAAUUUAAGUUCUCUAGUGGAAUGUUUAGUAGUUAUGAGCAUUAUUAAUUAUGUCUUUGACAGGUUUAAUGAUUUGAUGAAUUUACAAGUCUCCGACCAAAAGCGAAGAUGAGAUUAUCAUAAUGCCGAGACAGUUGGACAACUUUUCAAAUUUCGUAUAGUAAAUGUAAUGACUAAUAUUGGGCUGUAGAAUGCUACAUUGCUACUGAUGGGAUGUUAAUCUGAUUUUUGUAACUGCUUAUAUAUAUGAAGGCAUGCCAUGCUUGAUCUUAUGUCUUUAU